AUUGAACGCUGGCGGCAGGCCUAACACAUGCAAGUCGAACGAGUGGCGGACGGGUGAGUAAUGUCUGGGAAACUGCCUGAUGGAGGGGGAUAACUACUGGAAACGGUACCUAAUACCGCAUACCAUCAGCUUUGCACAGAUGGGACUAGAUUGCUGGUGGGGUAACGGCUCACCAAGGCAACGAUCCCUAGCUGGUCUGAGAGGUUGACCAGCAACACUGGAACUGAGACACGGUCCAGACUCCUACGGGGGGCAGCAGUAGGGAAUCUUGCACAAUGGGCGCAAGCCUGAUUCAGCCAUGCGGCGUGUAUGAAGAAGGCCUUCGGGUUAUAAAGUACUUUCAGCGGGGAGGCGUUACCCGCAGAAGAAGCACCGGCUAACUCCGUGCCAGCAGCCGCGGUAAUAC
rnacentral:rRNA from 1 species